AAAGGAUAUCAAAUGAAAUUGAAAGAGAAAAUAAUACUAGAAAUGUACUUGACGUUUAAUCCUGUAUUAAGAUUAUUUGAUGAACGAUUUAACAAUUCGCUAGUUAUUAUAAGGAGACAAUUAGCUAAUGUUGAAGUUAAAUGCGUGAGAAAAUUAGUUGAAGCGUAUGCACUGACUGGUACGGAUACAGACAUUAAACCUAUCAGUCCUCCUCAUCAUGGCUAGUUCUCAAUCAUGAUAAAGUUCAAUAUUGCACAACUAAAACAAUGAUAAAAUUAUGAGAAAUAUAUAAAAUAAGAAAAGAAUAUUAUAAAAAUAUAAGAAUAAUAAAAAAAAUGGAAAAAUAAAAGUAUUAAGAAAAAAAAUAAAUAUAAGAAAAUAAAUAUUAACGAAAAGAAAAGAAAUAUUAAUAAAAAACAAAAAAAAAAAAUAAAAGCGAGACUAUGUAUUUUGUGUAUACAAUAGCUUAUCGUUUAUUAUUGGUGUUCUUGUUCAAAGGAAAUUUUUACAAGUUGAUAAUAAAGUUUCUUUGAAUUUUCAACGAAUCAGUAGAGUUGAUUUCGAUUUAAUUUAAUGUUCGUCGAAGGAAAUGAAGCUGCCGGCGCAUAUAAUCCACCAUGGGGGACAACGACCGUCAUCACGCUACGAGAAGCUGUGUCAACUUAACGAUUCACUACACCAUGCAUCGGCAACAGAGGAUUCGAUCUUCGUUAUCGUCAUCUUUAUUAUCGUUGCCACUCUCGAUGUCUCGAUCAUCCAUUCUACCCGCACCGCUGUCACCAACUACAUCAAUGUCGUCUGUGACAACAUCAACUUCAACUUUGUCAUCACCGUUAUCAUCGUCAUCCAUCUUUUUACCAUCGUCCGCAACAUGGUCGACAUCCAAUUUAUCGUCAUAUUCUUGGAGUGUGCAACAAACCUCGUGUUCGAGGUUAUCCUCGUUGCCAAGCGAAUUGUCGAUCAUGUCAACAAUACCCUGUCCAAGACUUGUUUCUGUGUUAGCCUGGUCUGUGACGCUUUUACUUGUUUCAUCAUGUAUCGGUUUAACGGAUGCUGGCAUCUUAAAUGGACAUCCUUUGGGUAAAAGGUCCUUUAUUGAUAUUCAAUGUAAGGGUAUAUAUGAUAAAAGUAUCUUUGCCCGGCUGGAUCGAAUCUGCGAGGAUUGUUAUAACCUGUUUCGAGAACCUCAAUUGCAUCAAUUAUGCAGGAAAAACUGCUUUACAUCAGACUACUUCAAAGGAUGCUUAGACGUAUUGUUAUUGCAAGAUGAAGUAGAAAAGAUCCAAACAUGGAUCAAGCAACUUCAUGGAGCGGAACCCGGGGUUUAGUUACCAGCAUUUACCAUCGAGCUAGUUAUUUUCUCAUCGACGCAUAUGGUUUACUUUUGAUGUCAUCUCAAGAAUUUACGAACCACAACUCAACGAUGCAUAUGAUACGUACGAUGAUACGCGAUAUUCGCGCAUGCUGUAUGUUCCUUUAGGCAAGACUGCUUUGGUACGGAAUAUUUUACAAGCUGUAUUCAAGCAUUGCUGCUUGAAGAUGAAAAGGAAAAACUUUACGAAAUGGUCGAGUACCUAGGUCGCAAGAAGUAAGAGGAAGAGAACACAGAAGCGCUUUCAUCGUGAAGGCUUUCAUUUUUAUGACAUCUGCGAUGAAUGAUUUUAAUAAGACCAACGAGAAACUAUAAGAAACAACGAGAAACGAGAAAUUAUAAGAAACAAUUUUCAUAAAAAGGUUAUUGUUACGCAGAAUUGUGAAAAACAUAUAAUAUUCGUUUAUCCUACUUCUUUUAUGAAGUCCGAAAGAAUACUCUUAAAUUCGAGCACGCAAUCAUACCUUUUCCAUUCUCUUCUAUGAUACAUCAUAUAGAACAACAAAAAUGAUAUUAUCGGAGUAACUAAUAAUUGCUAUACAUAUACACAUAUUUGUAUAUAUUAUAUGUAUAUGUGUAUUGU
rnacentral:misc_RNA from 1 species